rnacentral:rRNA from 1 species
AUACGUAGGGGGCAAGCGUUAUCCGGAAUUACUGGGCGUAAAGCGCACGCAGGCUGACUUAUAAGUCGGUAGUCUAAUGCGGAGGCUCAACUUCCGUUUAUCUAUCGAUACUGUAAGACUAGAGUAUGUGAGAGGGAAGUGGAAUUCCCGGUGUAGCGGUGAAAUGCGUAGAUAUCACGAAGAACUCCGAUCGCGAAGGCAGCCUUCCGGCCCGUCAACGACGCUCAUGCUCGAAGGUGCGGGUAUCAAACAGGAUUAGAUACCCUGGUAGUCCGCACAGUAAACGAUGGACACCCGCGGUUUGGCCUGUAUGGCUGAGCCGCCAAGCGAAAGCGUUAAGUGUCCCACCUGGGGAGUACGCCGGCAACGGUGAAACUCAAAGGAAUUGGCGGGG